rnacentral:misc_RNA from 1 species
AGGGAUCAUUACAGAGUUCGCGCCCUUUAUGGGUAGAUCUCCCACCCUGUGUUAUCGCUACCGCGUUGCUUUGGCGGGCCGCCGGGCUCGACCCCGCCGCCGGCUUUGGCCGGCGCGUGCCCGCCAGAGACCCCCCUAUCCUAACUGUGACUGUCGUCUGAGUACUAUACAAUAGUUAAAACUUUCAACAACGGAUCUCUUGGUUCUG